CUUCGCUUGUCUUCCUGAUCACCCACUUAUUUCGUCUCUCUCGAAAAUGCAGUCAAAAUUCGUAGCUGUCUGCUUGGCCUUGGUGGUCGUCGUUCUCUCCUGUUAUGCAACGGCUCAGGAAGAUCUCAUGAUAACAGAGAGACAGGUCGUGGCAGAACUUGCUGCCCAAAUCCUGCGCGUGGCCCAUGGAUCCUGGAGUUCAGCAGAGGUCCACAAGAGGAAUUCGGGAAUGAUCAACUCCAUCCUCGG